rnacentral:rRNA from 1 species
GAUGAACGCUGGCGGCGUGCCUAAUACAUGCAAGUCGAGCGAACGGACGAGAAGCUUGCUUCUCUGAUGUUAGCGGCGGACGGGUGAGUAACACGUGGAUAACCUACCUAUAAGACUGGGAUAACUUCGGGAAACCGUAGCUAAUACCGGAUAAUAUUUUGAACCGCAUGGUUCAAAAGUGAAAGACGGACUUGCUGUCACUUAUAGAUGGAUCCGCGCUGCAUUAGCUAGUUGGUAAGGUAACGGCUUACCAAGGCAACGAUGCAUAGCCGACCUGAGAGGGUGAUCGGCCACACUGGAACUGAGACACGGUCCAGACUCCUACGGGAGGCAGCAGUAGGGAAUCUUCCGCAAUGGGCGAAGGCCUGACGGAGCAACGCCGCGUGAGUGAUGAAGGUCUUCGGAUCGUAAAACUCUGUUAUUAGGGAAGAACAUAUGUGUAAGUAACUGUGCACAUCUUGACGGUACCUAAUCAGAAAGCCACGGCUAACUACGUG